rnacentral:lncRNA from 1 species
CAACCAAAUCAUUCAUGUAGCAGCUAGAUCUUUGCUCUUAGAGCUAGAUGGGAGGGUAUACAUAUUGCGAUGUAUGUCUAUAAAACCGCAUAGAUUUGGAUGGAGGGAGAUUCUGUGACAGUGGCAUAAUGGAAAAUCAGAAUAGCUCAGGUGCUCCUUCUCACCUACCUUUACUCCAACAUAUUUUGCAGAUCAAACAAA